rnacentral:sRNA from 1 species
GGUGUGGUCGGUUUCCGGCAAAGUUUCAUUUGCCGGACCCUGUGGCAGGGGCGCGCCAUCAAUCACAACGAUGCCUGCGGGCAUGAACGGAGA